rnacentral:ncRNA from 2 species
GGCAGAGUAGGUAGUUGUGGGUUACGUGCCUGAAAGACGGGGAGUUGCUUUCGGGACGAAAAACCAAGUAGUAUGGUUUGCCGUACAAUUACCGCAUCCCGCUGCU